rnacentral:lncRNA from 1 species
AAAGAAAACAUAAACUACUCUUUUCAUGUCCAAUGGAUCAAUGGUUAUGGACAUCAAAAGGAUACUGAAGAUGUAAGAUAUUUGUCCUGAAAUAGUCGUUGACGUAGUUGAUGAAGCAGAUGUCAUGUGAGUGGUGAAGACCAUGUGGAAUCAAGGUGCUGAGAUGGAGUCGCAUAGAAUUGGAAAGCAAGAUAGUAUUUUG